GAUGAACGCUGACAGAAUGCUUAACACAUGCAAGUCUUUGGCGAAGCUGUGCUUGCACAGCCUAGCCAAGGCGGACGGGUGAGUAACGCGUAAGGAACUUGCCCUGCAGUCAGGGAUAACAGACGGAAACGACUGAUAAGACCUGGUAAAGUCAGGCGGACUCAUGUCCAGCCUGAUGAAAAGAGAUGCUGCAGGAGAGCCUUGCGUCCUAUUAGCUUGUUGGUGGGGUAACGGCCCACCAAGGCGAUGAUAGGUAGCCGGCCUGAGAGGGUGGACAGCCACAAGGGGACUGAGAUACGGCCCUUACUCCUACGGGAGGCAGCAGUGGGGAAUAUUGGACAAUGGGGGCAACCCUGAUCCAGCAAUUCUGUGUGCACGAUGAAGGUUUUCGGAUUGUAAAGUGCUUUCAGCAGGGAAGAAAAAAAUGACGGUACCUGCAGAAGAAGCGACGGCUAAAUACGUG
rnacentral:rRNA from 1 species